UAGCCUAAUGGUUAAGGCUAUGAGUCGCCAAUUCGGAGACGACGGGUUCAAUUCCCGU
rnacentral:tRNA from 1 species